GAAAAAUUGAACGAGUUUUAAAACCUGAACGAGGUGCGCGAAAUCACGACGACGAAACCACGAUGCGUUCCAGUCGGUUGAAUGCCGAGCACUACCGCAAGACCGAUACAAUACCAACAGCGAUCUUGAAUGAAUUGGAAGAUAAGUAAUAUACGCAGCUAAAUUUCAAUUGUUCUUUUUAUAAAUUGAAAAAAAAAACCUGUUUGACCGUUACAAAGUUCAUGAUUUUAUCGUCAAAAUUUUAAGAUUAAGACAGCCAUAUUGGAACUCACACAUAUAUCUGGUAAAUCGCAGGUGAAGAGUUUUGUCAUUUCUCGACAUCCUCUUUGCAAAAUAUCGCAGGUUCUAAAUACCGAACAAUAUUUAUGCAUAGUUUGUUGCAUCGAUUGUCUAAGCUCAACAACAGGGAUGCAACCUUUCGCAUAACGAGUUGCAUCGAAUCGGCAAAUUGAUUGUUCACCUAUAUCCUUGAUUUAAUUGAUCAGGAAUAUCAUCGUGCCGUUCACCAGGUCGAGUAAGGCAAUCAAUUUGAUCGGCAAUUGCUUUACCAAAAACGAUGAUUUCUAAUAAACUGUUAGCUCCAAGUCUAUUGGCACCAUGAACAGAUGCACAUGCAGUUUCGCCAGCUGCCCAUAAUCCAUCUAUUAUACUAUCUUCUUCGUUUUCGCGUGUUAAUACCUGUUUUAAAUAAGUCCAUCAUAGAUAUUUUUCAUUUAUAUGUUUCGAAGUUUAUUUAAACUUCAUUAAAUCGUUUAAAUAAAUUCUAACUUGAGCUCGCCAAUUCGUAGGUAUGCCACCCAUAUUGUAAUGGACUGUUGGUAUAACCGGUAUGGAAUCUUUCGUAAUGUCAACGCCGGAAAAUACCCACGCCAAAUGUGAGAUACCUGGUAACUUGUUUUGUAUCGUUUCAAUCGGUAAAUGACUUAGUUGAAGAUACACAUGAUCUUUCUUUGGACCUACACCUCUACAUAAAAGAAGAACAUAAAUGAAGAAAGAAAGAAAAUUUGUGUUCCACGUAAAAAUAGACGAGAAUCACCUUCCUUCGAUUAUCUCUAUGGUAAUAGCUCUAGAAACGACGUCACGUGAUGCUAAAUCCUUAGCUAUUGGGGCAUAUCUUUCCAUGAAAAAUUCACCUUGAGAGUUUACUAAUUUACCACCUUCGCCUCUACUACCUUCCGUUAUUAAUAUUCCGGUUCCAUACAUUCCUAUCAUACAAGAAAAAAAAAAAGAAAAAAAAGGAUAUUAAUUAUUUAACAUUAUUUAAUGUAUAAUUUAUUUUGAGAUGAUUAUUAUAAUUUUUAGUAACGAUAUCUACCUGUAGGAUGAAACUGUAUAAAUUCCAUAUCCUGUAGUGGUAAUCCUGCUCUAGAGAUCAUAGCCAUACCAUCACCAGUGCAA